AAUGAACGCUGGCGGCGCGCCUAAUACACGCAAGUCGAGCGAGAAGACGUAGCAAUACGUUUGUAAAGCGGCGAACGGGUGAGGAAUACAUGGGUAACCUACCCUAGAGUGGGGAAUAACUAGCCGAAAGGUUAGCUAAUACCGCGUACGCUCCUUGGACUUCGGUUCAGGGAGGAAAGCGAUGCCGAGGGUAUCGCGCUCUUGGAUGGGCUCAUGUCCUAUCAGCUUGUUGGUGAGGUAACGGCUCACCAAGGCUUCGACGGGUAGCUGGUCUGAGAGGACGAUCAGCCACACUGGCACUGCGACACGGGCCAGACUCCUACGGGAGGCAGCAGUAAGGAAUAUUGCGCAAUGGGCGAAAGCCUGACGCAGCGACGCCGCGUGA
rnacentral:rRNA from 1 species